ensembl:snRNA U1 U1 spliceosomal RNA
AUACUUACCUGGCGGGGGAGAUACCAUGAUCACAAAGGUGGUUUUCCCAGGGCGAGGCUUAUCCAUUGCACUCCGGAUGUGCUGACCCCUGCGAUUUCCCCAAAUGUGGGAAACUCGACUGCAUAAUUUGUGGUAGUGGGGGACUGCAUUCGCACUUUCCCCUG